rnacentral:rRNA from 1 species
UGCAAGUCGAACGCGCUGUGGCANUUGUUGGNAAGCUUGCUUCAAUUGAAUUGAAAUGGAGCGAGUGGCGAACGGGUGAGUAACACGUGGGAAACCUACCUCUUAGCAGGGGAUAACAUUUGGAAACAGAUGCUAAUACCGUAUAACAACUUUUAUCNNAUGAUAAAAGUUUAAAAGAUGGUUCUGCUCUCACUAAUAGAUGGUCCCGCGGGGUAUUGGCUAGAUGGAGAGGUAAUGGCUCACCAUGGCGAUGAUACAUAGCCNANUUGAGAGACUGAUCGGCCACAUUGGAACUGANACACGGNCCAAACUCCUACGGGAGGCAGCNNUNNGGAAUCUUCCACAAUGGACGAAAGUCUGAUGGAGCAACGCCNCGUGUGUGAUGAAGGGUUUCGGCUCGNNAAACACUGUUAUAAGAGAAGAACGUCAGUGAGAGUAACUGUUCAUUGAGUGACGGUAUCUUAUCANAAAGGGACGGCUAAAUAC